rfam:Medicago truncatula strain A17 chromosome 5, whole genome shotgun sequence.
GUAUCAUGAUCUUUAUUGACCGUUCAUAUAAACCAUACAAUAGCAUUGCAGCUUGUGUGGGGUUCAUAUAAUGGUCAACAGAGACUCUUGACAU